CGGGCUGUGGCUCAGCUGGCUAGAGCGCCUGCUUUGGGAGCAGGAGGCCGUGGGUUCAAAUCCCGCCAGCCCGA
rnacentral:tRNA from 1 species